rnacentral:rRNA from 1 species
UACGUAGGGGGCAAGCGUUGUCCGGAAUCAUUGGGCGUAAAGAGCGUGUAGGCGGCUCGGUAAGUCCGCUGUGAAAGUCCAGGGCUCAACCCUGGAAUGCCGGUGGAAACUGUCGAGCUAGAGUCCGGAAGAGGCGAGUGGAAUUCCUGGUGUAGCGGUAAAAUGCGCAGAUAUCAGGAGGAACACCAAUGGCGAAGGCAGCUCGCUGGGACGGUACUGACGCUGAGACGCGAAAGCGUGGGGAGCAAACAGG